GUCCACGCCAUAAACGAUGACAACUAGACGUUGGGCGGGUAAGCCGCACAGUGUCGCAGCUAACGCGUUAAGUUGUCCGCCUGGGGAGUACGGCCGCAAGGUUGAAACUCAAAGGAAUUGACGGGGACCCCGCACAAGCGGUGGAGCAUGUGGUUUAAAUUCGAUGCAACGCGAAGAACCUUACCUGGUCUUGACAUGUCUGGAAUCCCCGAAGAGAUUUUGGGGAGUGCCGCAAAGGGAACCCAGAACACAGGUGCUGCAUGGCUGUCGU
rnacentral:rRNA from 1 species